GUAGAUAUUAAUAUUUUACUGCUUACAUACCAUUAUUCUUGCACGGCCAGGGGAUGCUGGGGAGGGGAUAGCGGCCCAGCCCCUAGCCUGGCAACGUGCCAACUCCGCCCCUCGCCAAUGUAGGCCAGGACGGGGACUACGCAUGGCACAAGGCCUCAACACGCCUAUGGUAAGUACAAAGUUCCUUGCUUCUUACGCUAACAACUCAAGUCCAUUGUUUACUAUUGUUAAACACAUUAGUUGACAAACAUUACAAUAAUAAUGUUUGUGUGCAGUUAAAAAAUCAGCUUCAUUGUUCAACAUUAUGAAACAAGUUCACAGAUGUUACAAUAAUUAUGUUUUUGUGAAGAUAACUCAGGUUCAUUGUUUACCAUUAUGAAACAAGUUGACAUGUUACAAUAAUUAUGUUUGUGUACACAAAAAGCUUUUUGGAUUUUUGGGUUGCUCAAUUUCCCCUUUUUUUGCUGAGCUUUUAUAACGCUGCCACGGUCUACUGCCAGUCUGUGAUUUCUGCUUAUUUCUUAAAUGCAUUUCUAUUGUUUCCAUCGCUCACGUCACGCUAUUUGCUCAUACGUAGUAUUGCGAUACUGAUAGCUGUACCAUCAUCGGGGAUUGCUGUGCCCGUCGAUGUGUGUGUGUGUGAGUCCAUGUGUAUGUCUUUGAGUCCAUAUGUGUGUGCGUGUAGAGCCAUGCGUGUCUUUAACUCCAUGUGGGUGUCUUUUUCGAAUGGACAACGUCAAAGUGUUUAUGCGUGUGUUAGUCCAUGUGGGUGUGUCAGUCGAUCUGUGUGCGUGUACGUCGAUGUGUAUGUCAGUCCAUAUGUGUGUGUUAGUCCACAUGUGUGUGUAAGUCUAUACAUGUGUGUGUCACUCGAUGUGUGUGUGUAAGUCAAUGCGUCUGUGUGUGAGUCCAUAUGUGUGUUAAUCCAUGUCUGUGUAUCUAAAGUAGAUAUCUGUGUGUCACAGUCCAUAUGUGUAUGUGUGUGUAGGGCUAUGUGUGUGUCAGUCUAUGUAUGUGAAGUAUUCGGAAUGACGGCAGGAAACCACUUGACGGGUAGCACACUUUUUAUUAAACCUUGACUUGUCACGAUGCAACGUGUGGUCACUAUUCCUCACACUACACACACUCCACUUGACACGUGUAGUUACUAUGGCUCACGCUGCAUGCUCACACUGCAUGCUCUCACUGCACUCCAGCCCCGUAACGUUCGUGGAGCCUCCAGACCCACCCCAGCUUGGGCGUGAGUCACAACCUCUGGGUCCCGAGGGCCGGCCCUCACACGGACGUUCGGCCCCGGGUCCCAGGGUCCCGCCUCUGGGUCACACAGAGCCCUGGCCCUUACAAGGACAGCGGGACUAGGUGCCGCAGGGCCCUAUCUCUUCCUCCUCCGUCUUCAGUCUUCGCUGGUCACCAACUCCCCGUGCGCCUGUGCGCACCACCUUAUAUAGCCCCCGCUCUCGGGAGACGGAGCGUAUGCGGACCUCGACGUGAGCAUCCCCCUUAGUUGACCAAUCCCCGCGCGCUUGCCCCAGGAUCCCAUCGCUGUCAGCGCGCGUCACCGAUACCCAGCCAAUCACUGCCUCAUAACCCCCGACCCCGCGCUGACCCCUGAUCCUUCACCGUCAGCGCGCGUCACCAACACACACAGCCAAUCACUACGCGCUGGCACACGAUUCCCACCCCAGCGCGUAUCACCACUACAUAUGUGUAAGUUCAUGUGUGUGUGUCUUAGUCCAUAUGUGUGUGUGUAAGUACAUAUGUGUCUUUACGUCAAUGUGUGUUUUAGUCCACGUAUUGCUGUGUGCUAGUCGGUGUGUGUGAGUGAGUCGCUGUAUGUGUGUACGUCCAUAUAUGUGCGUGCAACUCCAUGUGUGUAUAUCUCAAGUGGAUGUCUGUGUGACAGUCCACAUGUGUAUGUGUGUGUACGGCAAUGUGUGUGUCACUCUAUGUAUGUGUGUGUGUCGCUGUAUGUGUGUACGUCGAUAUGUGUGUGUAACUCUGUGUGUGCGUAUCUCAAGUGCAUGUCUAUGUGUGUCAGUCCAUAUGUGUGUCUGUAAGUCGAUGUGUUUGUGUGUGUCAGUCCAUAUGUCUGUGUGUGUGUGUCUCAGUCCAUGUGCGUGUGUGUUAGUCGCUGUGUGUGCAUGCCUCCAUGUUAGUCAGUGUAACUCCAUUUCUUUGCGUGUCUGUAGGUCCAUGUGUGCAUCUUAGUCCAUGCGUGUGCUUUAUUCACCUGCUCAAGGCCUAUGCUACCAUCAGUAGGCCUGGCCUCUGGGUUGCUCUUCGUGCUUUCCGAGUCCCGAACCAACUCAUCACCAUCCUUAAGGACCUUCAUGAUGGUGAGCGGCCCUUACAAGGACAGCGGGACUAGGUGCCGCAGGGCCCUAUCUCUUCCUCCUCCGUCUUCAGUCUUCGCUGGUCACCAACUCCCCGUGCGCCUGUGCGCACCACCUUAUAUAGCCCCCGCUCUCGGGAGACGGAGCGUAUGCGGACCUCGACGUGAGCAUCCCCCUUAGUUGACCAAUCCCCGCGCGCUUGCCCCAGGAUCCCAUCGCUGUCAGCGCGCGUCACCGAUACCCAGCCAAUCACUGCCUCAUAACCCCCGACCCCGCGCUGACCCCUGAUCCUUCACCGUCAGCGCGCGUCACCAACACACACAGCCAAUCACUACGCGCUGGCACACGAUUCCCACCCCAGCGCGUAUCACCACUACAUAUGUGUAAGUUCAUGUGUGUGUGUCUUAGUCCAUAUGUGUGUGUGUAAGGACAUAUGUGUCUUUACGUCAAUGUGUGUUUUAGUCCACGUAUUCCUGUGUGCUAGUCGGUGUGUGUGGGUGAGUCGCUGUAUGUGUGUACGUCCAUAUAUGUGCGUGCAACUCCAUGUGUGUAUAUCUCAAGUGGAUGUCUGUGUGACAGUCCACAUGUGUAUGUGUGUGUACGGCAAUGUGUGUGUCACUCUAUGUAUGUGUGUGUGUCGCUGUAUGUGUGUACGUCGAUAUGUGUGUGUAACUCUGUGUGUGCGUAUCUCAAGUGCAUGUCUAUGUGUGUCAGUCCAUAUGUGUGUCUGUAAGUCGAUGUGUUUGUGUGUGUCAGUCCAUAUGUCUGUGUGUGUGUGUCUCAGUCCAUGUGCGUGUGUGUUAGUCGCUGUGUGUGCAUGCCUCCAUGUUAGUCAGUGUAACUCCAUUUCUUUGCGUGUCUGUAGGUCCAUGUGUGCAUCUUAGUCCAUGCGUGUGCUUUAUUCACCUGCUCAAGGCCUAUGCUACCAUCAGUAGGCCUGGCCUCUGGGUUGCUCUUCGUGCUUUCCGAGUCCCGAACCAACUCAUCACCAUCCUUAAGGACCUUCAUGAUGGUGAGCGGCCCCGCGUCUUAACUACGUGGCCGUGAGUCAGAGCCAUUCUCUUUACACCUUGGGGCGCAACAGGGAUGUCCUCUGGCUCCCACAUUGGACCACGUAGUUCGUCGAGCCUUCAAUGCCUGUACCGGAAGAAUUCCCAUCUGCUACAGAUACAAUGGGAGGCUGAUCGAUGCCCGGGUGCGGUCAAGGGAUGGCUCCCUAUUGCUCAACCACGUUAUGUAUGCCGAUGAUCUGCUAAUGGCUGCUCACUCCGAGGAGGAGUUCGAGGUGCUGCUGCUGAACCUGGAGCUUGCCACCAACAGAUCGAGGGGGCUAAACGGGCGCGGCACGGGCUGGAGAAGACAUGGAGUGAUGUGCUACAGGAGGACUUGGAGCUGAGUCCACUUGCGGAUGACUGCCGACCUCUCCAGUGCUGCUGCGGUGGUCCACUUUACUCCAGUGACUCGGGGGCUGCUGCGGGGUCCACUUUCUGCCCAGCCUCCUCCCCCCUUCUCUCUCCCCCCUUACUGCGGAGGCCUAUAUAACCUCGUGCCACGGCAGAUCUCUUGCCUACUUCAGCAGUUUUUUAUUGCUGUGGUUAUCCCACCUGAUGACGAUUGCUUGUGUUGCAAUCGAACGUCGUGAUCUAUCAUUUGUUCUACCUACGUGACUUUACCGAAAGAACCAAAUAGUAUGAAGGAUGUCCUUGCCCACCCACUGGGCCCACUGCCAUGGGCAAUGCUGAUGGUCCCAUCAAAAAACAAACAAGGCUGCACUUGCCAGAGAGCUUGAAAAAAAUGUGUCUCCUGCAGAAGACAUCCCAAACCUAUCUACUUCCAUCAUUGAUGGGUUGAGCCUGGUCCAAAAAAUUAAUGGCAACAACAAAACCUUUGCACAGGUGGCAGAGUUAGCCUUGGCCCAGGACCUCCACGAGGGGGCACAGAGUGAAAGGAUGUAUGUUGUUUUUGAUGUCUACCGGCAGACUUCGAUCAAAGAUGCUGAACGACUGAACCAGGGUGCAGACACCACUCUCCAAUACAAGAACCUUGCAAGGGGACACCAAGUUCAGCAGUGGAGAAAAUCCCUGUGCAGUCCAUCCAACAAGACCAGUCUCAUCAAGUUUCUGGUGAAAGAGUGUAAACUCCCACGAUACAGAGAGAUGCUGCAUGGCAAGGUGUUGUACAUGACAUGUGAGGAAACCACCUAUAAGUUGACAAGAUGAGUGUGAGGAAGUAGCAGAGAUGCACUUCACGCAUGAAGAAGCUGACAUCCGUCUGCUCCCGUAUGCAUUGAAUGCAGCAAAUGUGGGCUCAAAUGCAGUUAUCAUCACAGCUGAGGACACUGAUGUCAUGGUGCUUUGUCUUGGCUUCCAGAAGGACAUCACCUGUCCCAUCUACCAGAAGUGUGGGACACAGAACCGCACACGAUUUGUCGAUAUCAGCAAACUGGCAAGGUAACUUGGAGACAGCAUCUGUGACAGCCUAAUUGGCUUACACGCCUUCACAGGCUGCGACACUGUCAGUGCAUUCGCCGGUCGAGGGAAGCUGAAUGCCCUGAAGAUGGUGAGAAAGGACACUUCCUGCCAAAGAUACUUUUAGUCGACUGGGGCAGUUAUGAAAUGUGAGUGAUGAGCUGUUCCAGAAAAUUGAGCAGUUCACCUGUCGCAUGUAUGUUGCUAAUAGCAGCACUGGUGAGGUGAACGAACUGCGCAACCAGCUCUUCUGCACCAAAAGGGGAAAAGUCGAGUCCAGCUAGCUGCCACCGUGUAGGGACUGUCUCUUCAUGCAUGUUCAACAAGCCAACUAUCAGGCAGAAAUCUGAAAGUACUGUCUGCAGGCUAACCCUGUGGUGCCAAGCCCUACUGAGUAUGGAUGGACAAUGAUGGCAAGCUGGCUAUUUACUGGAUGCGCUCCCCACCCGCACCAGAUGUGGUCUUGGAACUUCUAGCAUACAAGUGUGUGCGUGCAUGCAAAAUGCCAAGCUGCACGUGCCUGUCAAAUGGACUGACAGCAGAGACAUGUGCAGGUUACAGACCUGCAGUAACCAAAAACUGCAGGAUGAUCCAGAACCUGACUUUGAACUCGGGGAGUCAGAUGACGAGAUAUACGAGCAGUUUGGUGAUUCUGAUGGUAUUACUGUGGUAGUAGUAUACAUUGAUGGACAGUGUGGUGAUUCUGGACUGGUUACCCUUGUUAACACCAUCUAAGUACACACAGGGCUUGAUAAUAAUAAUGUAACCUUCUUCACAUAUACCAAUCACUAACGAUAUAUAUGAGAUUACAUGAAUCAUUGACUAAGUAUAUGGGAAUGUCAAUGUUUAUGUAAUAAUCUUCCAGGAGACGGCUUCGGAAUCAGUCCUUUUUAUUUCCACUCCACCACACACUUUCCUCACUCACUCUCCGUUGCUGGCAGACAACGGAGAGAGGACAGACUACGCACGAAGUCCCCUCCGCGCACGUGGCAACCCGAGGCCCCGUCCGCGCAUGACCCUGCUCUUGUUAAUUUCAGUCUGCUCUCGAUCGUUCCCUCUCGCUCGCUCUUAAGACCUUCGUCACGUGGUUCCCCUAGCCAAUCGUGUAUGGACAGCUUCGACCCUUCUCGAUGGUUCCCUGUCAAUCCCGGGACCACGCCCCUCAUCCGGCUCCCCAUUAGCUGGGGCCCCGAAUGGCUAGGCCAAUCACUUCUGAUGACCUGUCCCAAUCUCAACCCUUAUUGGCUACGAGCAGGACCGGCAAGCCAAUCCCCACGUGAACCCUCUAUGGCUGUUAUUACAUUUAUAAUAGUAAAGUAGUUCCUUACCUUAUUAUGGUAUUCCUUAUUAUCCUGUGUUUUCAUUGUGUAUUUAAACCAAAAAAGACCAGUUUGUGACUUAACUGGCUUUGGUCUAGGUAGUUUUUUCAGUAAUAAUGCCCAUUUAUUGUUCCAGACGGCUGUCAUAGGGUAUGGGUAUGAAAGUCAUGGUAACUACAACUAAGUUGCCACUACGCAAACAUUAUCAUAUCAGAAUAUGUCCCACACAUAUAAGGAUUGCAAAAAUCAUUAUUAGACUUUGCCACCUCAGCUGGUACCAAUAAGUGAUUUUUUUGGUCUGGGCCGAUGACUUAUUCAAUGUGUAAUGCGAGCGUAUUCUGGGUUUCGCCGCCCCAGCCCCUAAGCCAACCAGGCGCCACGAACCAUCGGGGGUAGGGUUUAAGGGCGGAGCCUGCGGCCGUUAGGGGGUGGUAUUAUCUGGAAAGUUCUUAAGGGGUGUGGCGAAGGGCGGAGUCUGGGUGACGUGGGAAGAGGAUAUAAGGGGGAGCCGGAAGGGGCUCGGGUCAGUUGGUGGAAGCUGGAAGCUGGGCCACGUCGGGGGUCUCCGCGAGCCAUCGGCCACGUGGCGACGCGGAGACGGCUCCCAGCGCACCGUCUGCCAGCAGUGCGCGGGAGCGGGGAAGCGAGAGAGCGGCGAGAGAGCCGCGCGAGAGCGGGACGUCAGCUCCCGCGACGUGCCGCGGAACGACCGAGAGAGCGGCGUGAGAGCAGGACGUCAGCUCCCACGACGUGCUGCGGAAUGACCGGGAGAGCGGAUGGCGAGCUGUCCAAAUAACGAAGAAAUAAAGAG